UGGAAUACAAUUGUUAUCACUUGUAUUUCAAUUUUAAUUUCCUAUUUCAAUUGUUCUUGGUGCUUAUUUGGAUUGGGUUCAAGGGAUAUCAUUUAUCUUUCUUAGGUUCUCUUUAACUUCUACCAUUUGGGUGAUUGAACAAAUUUGAUUCCUUUUUUACUUGUGAUCUAAAUUCCGUUCUGAACCGAUUGAAGAGUCUAAGGUUCAAGCAAGGGCCUUGGGGUUCCGCAUCAUUUGGUAUCAGAGCAUUGGUUCACCAAGUAAAUUAGUCUAUCCUUAUUUUGUUGUCUUUAUUUUCAUUAUUGCUUACAAAAAAAAGGCA
rnacentral:lncRNA from 1 species